rnacentral:rRNA from 1 species
GAUGAACACUGGCGGCGUGCCUAAUACAUGCAAGUCGAGCGAACGGACGAGAAGCUUGCUUCUCUGAUGUUAGCGGCGGACGGGUGAGUAACACGUGGAUAACCUACCUAUAAGACUGGGAUAACUUCGGGAAACCGGAGCUAAUACCGGAUGAUAUUUUGAACCGCAUGGUUCAAAAGUGAAAGACGGUCUUGCUGUCACUUAUAGAUGGAUCCGCGCUGCAUUAGCUAGUUGGUAAGGUAACGGCUUACCAAGGCAACGAUGCAUAGCCGACCUGAGAAGGUGAUCGGCCACACUGGAACUGAGACACGGUCCAGACUCCUACGGGAGGCAGCAGUAGGGAAUCUUCCGCAAUGGGCGAAAGCCUGACGGAGCAACGCCGCGUGAGUGAUGAAGGUCUUCGGAUCGUAAAACUCUGUUAUUAGGGAAGAACAUAUGUGUAAGUAACUGUGCACAUCUUGACGGUACCUAAUCAGAAAGCCACGGCUAACUACGUG